rnacentral:rRNA from 1 species
UACGUAGGGUGCAGGCGUUAAUCGGAAUUACUGGGCGUAAAGCGUGCGCAGGCGGUCUCUUAAGACAGGUGUGAAAUCCCCGAGCUUAACUUGGGAACUGCGCUUGUAACUGAGAGGCUAGAGUGUGGCAGAGGGGGGUGGAAUUCCACGUGUAGCAGUGAAAUGCGUAGAGAUGUGGAGGAACACCGAUGGCGAAGGCGGCAUUCUGGACCGACAUUGACGCUGAGGAGCGAAAGCCAGGGGAGCAAACGGG